CGAACCGAGAUCGCUAGCGGAACUCGCUUUCGCAGCGAUCCCGGUUACGGAACCACUCGACGAUUGGACCUCUAAUCAGAUGGAAACCUCGCCACCUAUCAGGACUGGAAAACCAAAUCUUUUUGGUAACACAGAGAUUUGAUCGCUGCUUAUCGGAUUCAUUCGGUCCUUCUACGGGAGAUUGAAGGACAAGGUUCGGAUUGGAGCUGUCGGAGGUGGAGCAGGUGGAGCAUGAAGAUGAAGUUUUUGUUUUAAUGAAUUGUAAUUUGCAUUUAUUGUA